CCUACGGGAGGCAGCAGUGGGGAAUUUUGGACAAUGGGGGAAACCCUGAUCCAGCCAUGCCGCGUGCAGGAAGAAGGCCUUCGGGUUGUAAACUGCUUUAGUCUAGGAAAAAGGGGUGCGAGGUUAAUACCCUCGUGCUUUGAUGGUACUGGAAGAAUAAGCACCGGCUAACUACGUGCCAGCAGCCGCGGUAAUA
rnacentral:rRNA from 1 species